rnacentral:rRNA from 1 species
AAAACUUUCAACAACGGAUCUCUUGGUUCUGGCAUCGAUGAAGAACGCAGCGAAAUGCGAUAAGUAAUGUGAAUUGCAGAAUUCCGUGAAUCAUCGAGUCUUUGAACGCACAUUGCGCCCUUUGGUAUUCCGAAGGGCAUGCCUGUUCGAGCGUCAUUG